rnacentral:rRNA from 1 species
GGAUUAGAUACCCUGGUAGUCCACGCCGUAAACGAUGUCUACUAGCCGUUGGGGAACUUGAUUCUUUAGUGGCGCAGCUAACGCACUAAGUAGACCGCCUGGGGAGUACGGUCGCAAGAUUAAAACUCAAAUGAAUUGACGGGGGCCCGCACAAGCGGUGGAGCAUGUGGUUUAAUUCGAAGCAACGCGAAGAACCUUACCAACUCUUGACAUCCAGAGAACUUAGCAGAGAUGCUUUGGUGCCUUCGGGAACUCUGAGACAGGUGCUGCAUGGCUGUCGUCAGCUCGUGUUG